GUAGGUGAACCUGCGGAAGGAUCAUCAGUGAUUGGGGCGCAAGCCCCACCAAUCUUGUGUGAAUUGUUUUGAGUGAGUAUGUUGGUGGGAGACUUGUCUUCUGCCAACCUCCAACAUAUUAUCUCUUAAUCUUUGUCUAAACACAAACCACAAUACAACACACAACUUUUAACAAUGGAUCUCUUGGCUCUC
rnacentral:misc_RNA from 1 species